GCCGGGUAAAAGGGGAUUGAAGCUACAACUUUUGCAGGGGAUGAGGCAUUAUUAGGUGAUAAAGCGUGAACUGCAGCAUUGAGGAGUUGGGUUGAGCCAGCACCAAAAAUAAUGUACCUUCCUUGUGUUACUGCAUUCCCUACAGCGUCAUGGAGCUUGCGAAUGUGCGUCUCGAGCUCUUGUGAGAUGUAGGUUUGAUCUCCGAAUGAGUAGCUCAUCCGAUGCCAUCCUGCUACAACAACUGCACUGCUGGCAGCAUGCUGCAUCCAGAAAGGCUCCAAGAAUAAUGGAUCUCCACUAUCAGCGUUUGCAGAACAAUUAGGGAAGAACUGGGAGCAAUCAAGACCUCCAUAGCAACUGUU
rnacentral:misc_RNA from 1 species